rnacentral:rRNA from 1 species
UACAGAGACUGCAAGCGUUAUUCGGAUUCACUGGGCGUAAAGGGCGCGCAGGCGGCUACGCACGUCCGUUGUGAAAUCGCUCGGCUCAACUGGGCGGGGUCGGCGGAUACGGCGUAGCUGGAGCAAGCUAGGGGGCAAUGGAAUUCCCGGUGUAGUGGUGGAAUGCGUAGAUAUCGGGAGGAACACCAGUGGCGAAGGCGGUUGCCUGGAGCUUUGCUGACGCUGAGGCGCGAAAGCGUGGGGAGCGAUCCGG